rnacentral:rRNA from 1 species
GUGAGGAAUAUUGCGCAAUGGAGGCAACUCUGACGCAGCCAUGCCGCGUGCAGGAAGAAGGCGCUACGCGUUGUAGACUGCUUUUAACCGGGAAGAAACCCCAGGAGGUGUCCUGGGUUGACGGUACCGGAGGAAUAAGCACCGGCUAACUUCGUGCCAGCAGCCGCGGUAAUACGAAGGGUGCAAGCGUUAUCCGGAUUCAUUGGGUUUAAAGGGUGCGUAGGCGGAGCGUUAAGUCAGUGGUGAAAUCCUGCAGCUUAACUGUAGACUUGCCAUUGAUACUGGCGCUCUUGAGUGCGCUUGAAGUGGGCGGAAUGUGCCGUGUAGCGGUGAAAUGCUUAGAUAUGGCACAGAACACCAAUUGCGAAGGCAGCUCACUAAGGCGAUACUGACGCUGAGGCACGAAAGCGUGGGGAUCGAACAGGAUUAGAAACCCCUGUAGUCC